rnacentral:rRNA from 1 species
CACGUAGGGGGCGAGCGUUGUCCGGAUUUAUUGGGCGUAAAGAGCUCGUAGGCGGCUCAGUAAGUCGGGUGUGAAAAACUCCAGGCUCAACCUGGAGACGCCACCUGAUACUGCUGUGGCUAGAGUCCGGUAGGGGAGCAUGGAAUUCCUGGUGUAGCGGUGAAAUGCGCAGAUAUCAGGAGGAACACCAGUGGCGAAGGCGGUGCUCUGGGCCGGAACUGACGCUGAGGAGCGAAAGCGUGGGGAGCAAACAGG